UACGGAGGGUGCAAGCGUUAUCCGGAUUCACUGGGUUUAAAGGGUGCGUAGGUGGGUUGGUAAGUCAGUGGUGAAAUCUCCGUGCUUAACAUGGAAACUGCCAUUGAUACUACUGAUCUUGAAUUUUCAGGAGGUAAGCGGAAUAUGUCAUGUAGCGGUGAAAUGCUUAGAUAUGACAUAGAACACCAAUUGCGAAGGCAGCUUACUACAGGAAUAUUGACACUGAUGCACGAAAGCGGUGGGAUCAAACAGG
rnacentral:rRNA from 1 species